UACGGGGGGGGCAAGCGUUGUUCGGAAUUACUGGGCGUAAAGGGCUCGUAGGCGGCCAACUAAGUCAGACGUGAAAUCCCUCGGCUUAACCGGGGAACUGCGUCUGAUACUGGAUGGCUAGAGGUUGGGAGAGGGAUGCGGAAUUCCAGGUGUAGCGGUGAAAUGCGUAGAUAUCUGGAGGAACACCGGUGGCGAAGGCGGCAUCCUGGACCGGUAUUGACGCUGAUGCGCGAAAGCCAGGGGAGCAAACGGG
rnacentral:rRNA from 1 species